rnacentral:rRNA from 1 species
UACGUAGGGUGCAAGCGUUUAAUCGGAAUUACUGGGCGUAAAGCGUGCGCAGGCGGUUAUGUAAGACAGGUGUGAAAUCCCCGGGCUUAACCUGGGAACUGCAUUUGUGACUGCACGGCUAGAGUGUGUCAGAGGGGGGUAGAAUUCCACGUGUAGCAGUGAAAUGCGUAGAGAUGUGGAGGAAUACCGAUGGCGAAGGCAGCCCCCCUGGGAUAACACUGACGCUCAUGCACGAAAGCGUGGGGAGCAAACAGG